rnacentral:piRNA from 1 species
UAUCGAAGAGUUCCUGUAUCAGUGCCA